rnacentral:lncRNA from 1 species
UUCCUCAGAAGGCUCAGAACCCACUUCAAUGUCUGUCAUUCCUGUCACCUGCUCAGCUGCAUACAGUUCUCUCUAUCCGCCACCUACCCCAUCCUUCCCCUUCCCCACCUGCCAAGCCCUUCCCGGGGCCUCUGGAGCUCAGGGUCUGUCAGGAGGAAACACAGCUAUCUACUCAACCUCUCUGAAUACGUGAAGUUCUCAGUCCAGCUGAAGUCGCAAGGCACUGCUUCCUCUGCAGCCCUCCCACGUGGUGCGGGUUUGCUCUCUGAUGCCAUCUGUCCCGAAGGAGCGGCAGUUCUCCCCAUUUCUCAGGGCCACUUCCAGACCAGCACUCCUGAUUCUGCCCCGCAGGCUUCCGCUCCAGUGCCCAGAGCGCUGCCAUGACCGACCUUCCCUUUGGUCAACCGCUCUCAUUCGAUGAAAGAAUUUGUCCCUUGCUCACUGCCUUUCUCUCCACAUCUGUUUCUGUAAUAAUUUGGGGGGGGGGGUUCAAUGGCCACAAAGAUGUGUCAGGUCCUUGACCUUUUCACUUGCCACUGAAACCAUCCUGUAUCCUCCGAAGCCACGUUCAGUGUCAAACCCAGCCUCUUCUCAUUAGCAGUAAUUUCCCUUCUUCGAAUGUUCCGUUUCCAGUCAUCUCUCUAUUUACAAACCAGGAUCUUUCAGCUUUUCUUUUACCUCAACUCCAGCAAUGCCUUGCCCCCCCCCCGCCCCCGGACACCCAAAUCCUUGGUCUCACCACUCCUAUACCACCUGUCCAUCAGGUUCUCACGGCCCCUCCCUGAGAUUAAAUUCCAUUUCUAAAAUCACUGCCUCGCAUCCACUCGCACCUCUCCUGCUCGGCUCUCUCAGCACGUGCUCAGCUGACAAAACUGCAAUCCUGGUUCCUGGAGGCUUUCUGCCUACUCUGUGCCCGCACCCAAACUGCCACUAAAUGCUAAAGAAACACACUCAAUGCAUCUGGUGACUCCCAUUUUCAAAUCACGACCACAAACUUCAACUACGUCCUCAACAGUCACCAGGAAUCCCAGCCUGAUGUCCUCGCCAAGUCACUCUGCUGCCUCCGAGACAAGCGUAUCUCACACACUCUGUGCUCCGAACUCCUGCAUCUCCUCCCUGCGGGGGCAGCAUCCUUCUCAUUUUAGGAAUUAAAGAGGAACACUCGGAAGAGAGCUUCCCAUCCUGCGACCAAGUCUGGCUUCCUAUCAGCUGCUGCGUCCACUCUCGGGCUGCCCUCCCAUCCCGGUGACUGAGCUGAGGGUCCUUCCGGAGGCCACCCCUUCCCGUUAGGUGCGGGCCAACCCCUCUCGCCUGCUCAAGGACUUUGGCACAGCGACAAAGCCCAUGCUCCUGCGUAAGCGUCCUGGGCUUCUGCUACCAGACGGCACACAUCAGCAAACACACUGUAACAUUCUCCUUUGGGGAGAAGAGCCUUCCGGGACCCCACAUCGUCCUCCUCUUCCUGUCAACACCCCUCUCCAUUUCUGGUCACAUUCUUAAGGACGAGUGGAUAGGACUUCAACAUAGAGAUUUGUGGGCAGACACACUUCCACCUGUAACACUCACACAUGCUCACAAAGUCACACAUCCAUGUACUCCCAUGCACACGCAGAAGCACACAUAUACACACAUUUACACACAAACUCACACACACACACCCAUAUAUACCUGCACACUCAGAUACUCCCACAUGCUCACGCUCCUUCCUGAAGUGCACCUGCACACCCAGAUUAUGCCUCCGCGUGCACACACGUCUCACAUCUGCAGGGGAUCCGCCCUCCCUCCAACUCUGCCUCCCGUGGACCCUGUGUCCUCAGGCAGAAAGGUGACCGAAGCCAAGGGAAGCGGAGCCUUCACCCAGGCUGAGUCAAACUGGAGCUAGGGAGCAAUCCCUUCACUCUCUGGUGGCAAACUGGGGAAGAUGCACCCCAGGCUGUGGUCGGCAGCGCUGUCCCAGGUCAUCCAGGGAAGAAGCCUGACCGCAUGAGGAAUGCGAAGGUGACCCAUGGGACAGGAGAAAGUGAGCCUCGGCGACCCCUCCUCCCAGGUCCAGCCUCCCGAGAGGUCAGCCGCACUCGGACUUCCUCACAGCUCGAACCUGCCCUCAUUAGUUGGUUUGGCUUUUCUGUCCUUGUAAUUUAAAGAAGCCAGAUUCCUUAAAAGGGGGUUCCAAAGGGAGCCUAGGAGGCCUGAAAGGUACCAUGAUGACAAAAGGCAAGUAAGUGACCAAAAGGCAAGUAAGUGACCAAAAGGGAACUUGUCAUUUCUUUUUUUCAAAUUGAAGUACAGCUUUAGAUGAACGAUACAGCGAUUCAACGGUUAAACACACUAUGAAGUGACGGAUCACCAAGGUAAGUCUCGUAACCCUCUGUUGCCAAAGUUUUGUUCCAUUUUGUCUCCUUGUUCCCGUGCUGUCCUUUCUCCAUUCACGCGGCCUUCUUUCAACACCUCACCAAUCUCUCUCCCCUGAAAACACUGAAAUCUUCCCUUCUUACAAGAAGGGUCUCUAUUUGUAUGCCAGUUUCUUCAGAAGCAUAAAACGCCCACCCUAUGAAAGACAGUUGACCAUUUUAUCCUGUAACUCAGAAUGGUGAUUGUUUUUUCACUGCACUUUCUCACAAUUUAGAAUGAUUUUACUUGUGUGCAUUUUCUGGGGUUUCUCUCUCCUCCCCAUGAGCCUAAGGCCCAGAGGACAGAACGUGGGUGUCUACUGUUCCCACUUUACCCCUGGAACCCUGCACCCUGGAACAGCGUGGUGGCCCUCGAGGAUGCGUGGGGGAGGAGAGAGGAGGCGGGGAGGGAGGUGGACGCCACUCCCGGUAACUUCCCAGCUGGGCCCCCAAACCCAGCCUUCUGAGAAGACGAUGGCCAACUGGCAACUUCACCUCUGCUGUCGACGCCUCUUGUCACGUUCGGCUCCUCCGUGACCCUCCCUUAGCUCCCCUGGCCGCCCCCCAGGAACGGCCCUGGUGUGUGAGCUGCAGCUUUGAGGGCUGGUGCCCAGGCCCCUUAGGUUUUAGCGCAGCCCCAGGUGGGUCACUCACCAGGCAUGACCUUGCUCUGCUUUCCGCCAAUGAAAAAACAUGUGAAGAAUCUGAAGGUUACCAAACAAGUCUUAAUCACCCACCCCUGCAUUUUCAUAAUUUCUUAACCCCUAAGGCUGCGGACAAUAAUGGAUUUCUCGAGGCAGAGCAGCGAAAAGCAACGCCUCGCUCAGAAACAGGCACGGGGACCAGUACCGACCUCGGCCUGGGGAGCCUCUCUGGGGCUGAGGGUGAAGAGCUGCUUGAAGGCUCGGCCACAAAAUCUGACGGGGGGUGGGGGGUGGGGCGACUGCUUUUCAACGGAACACACGUGGGGCAAAUGACUGUGCUUUGUGAACAUUCCAGAGUCUUCGAUACCAAAGCUCUCCUGCCCCACAAGCAGUCCUCCAGGGGAGAAAAGUAAGCGGCUGUGGUGUUUUCAAUGCCCUGAAAACCACAUCACUGCUUCCCUCUCUUCAGAUUCUCAGCCUCUGGAAAACCAAACUGGCAAGUUGCUGGCAAUUCCUGUCCACAAAGCAUCGCGUGGCAGAAAUCUGCAGGGAACGCUACGCUCGCUUUGCCUGUACCUCUGCAGCCUUUAAAUCACCCUCUCUCUCUACCCAAGCUCCUCGAACAGUAUUUCCAUGUGAGGGCAUCCAUCAGACAGCGUCGCCCUCGGAUGUCAAAACGCUCCAGUCAGACCACGCGAAUAAAUCCUGGUUACUUCUAUGUUCCAGAGAGAAAGCGUACCUUUUUAGGUCAUGGUCAAGAGCUGUGAGCGGCACUUGGUAAGACACCGACUUCUCACGUGCAGGUGGCUGGUGUUAAACGUAGUGCACUUUGCUAACAGAGCGACCCUGGGCCGGUAGCUCCUCCUCGACGGCGGCCCUAAUGCUUUAAACUGCUUUGCCGAAUCCCUAAGUCUAAGCAACCCUCCUGCCCCGGUUUAGGGUGUGGAUUAAAAACAUGCACCGGUUUAGACUCCACUGUUCAGGUCUGAUGGCCGUGGGACACACAGGCUCAUGAAUCUUCGCUAGGCUACUCGUAGCCAGGGAGAAGCCGCUUUCUUCAGUCAACGUCCCCUGCUUCUCAGCAAUAGGGUGCCUUCCAUCACCCAGAGGUUUCUUCCUUUUAAUUGCGUGUUGGUUGAAGCAUGACUCUGAGACAGGAGGCCUAUUCAGGAAUAGAAACUGCAGCCCGACGUGCCCAUUACUUACCUGAGACAGGGCCUGAGAACAGCUGUGCCUUCCGGAGCCCAGACACUGUGGCAGGUGGAUUUGGGCUGCUGGGCCGGCUGGCAAUGUUGCCAAAAAGCCAUGGGGGUGCAGGGAGACGAGGGGAGGCUGGGUCUGGGGACUCUCUCCUCCCCCCAACCCUGGAAAAGCUGAAGGGGAAAUAAUGCAGCCACUCUGUCUUUGCUCUCUAC